GAGCAUGCUCGGCUUCCCGGCUGUCUCGCCAGGCCUUUCAACGGUUGACUUCUCUAGAUGCGAAAAAGGGACAAUGGAGAAGUGGGCAGAAGGUUGACAAAGAUGUUCUGGAAGCGAUCAAUAGCUUUUGAACUCUCUCCGUGCACAAUUAAGUUGCCUCAGGGGUCGUGUGUGCAUUGUAUAUAGUGAAAGGAUUUAAUGCUAACAAAUCACUGUCAAUCAAAGAUUAGGUAUGGAAUUGCCGAAAUUUGAAGGUUUAGGCAAUGUGCCACGGAUGAAUUAUUCUCUAUACGAGUGUAACAUACACCUAGACAACUUUCUUAAAACAGUAUUUCAUAAAAAUGCAAUUUUUGAAAUUUUAAUGUUAGUCUAUAUUAUAAUAUGUACAUUUCGAAACGUAAACCUUCCACAUGGCAGCUCAAUUGAAGCCGAGAAUAUUUGGCUAAUUCAUGAUUUCUAAAUCUUUUCUCUGGAUUUAGUAAAUGGCAAGUAAUCCAUUAAUGUUUGAGAAUGAAUUAUGGGUUUGCUAGGUAAUCUGUAAAUGGCACUUAACCCGGAAAGCUGAGGUUCUUGAAUUUGAUAUGCACCUAUAUUCAGCUCUUGACCUUCUUGGUUUUCUAUUUUGGGCGGGUCCAGUGCUUAAAAAUAGGAAUACACUGUUUUUGCCAUACACACAAUGCAUAAGUAAAUUUGCUUUUCAAUACUGUU